UCCUAAGCGAUAAAGGGUUAACGUUAUCAUAAGUGACCUACCGUCAUGAAACAAAUCUAAUUUGAACGGUUAAAAUUUUGAAAUCGACCAUAAACACUUCUACGAGAUGUGAACUGUGGAGAAACGUAUAAAAUGCUGAAUAAGUUACCUAUAGAUGUUAGUACCAGUUUAUCACUAUUAUAUAUAUUUACAAAACCAUCUAAAACGUAGAAGUGUAUAAUGAUGCAGAAUGCGAUAUUAGCCUUGGUCGUAGCCAUGAUGGUUAUUCAGUCAGUAGCCGCGCAAUUUAUACAAAGUGACGAUCAAUUCAUACCGAUAAAGAUGUAAAAAACCAAGACCACAAUCCCAAGAAAUGGAAACCAGACAUUCUACUCACAAGAAGGACUAUCACCAAUAAGAAAAAAAACACACACAAAAAAACCUAAAUGAUGACUUAGCGACGGAAGAUGUGUUUGAUGGACCAGAUUUAAUAAUUAUAAAGUAAAACUUUAAAUUCAUUGUAUGUGCAUAAUAAACUGAUGAACAUUAUAAGUAUA